rnacentral:rRNA from 1 species
UCAGGAUGAACGCUGGCGGCGUGCUUAACACAUGCAAGUCGAACGAAGCAGUUUAUUACGAUCCCUUCGGGGUGACGAUUUACUGACUGAGUGGCGGACGGGUGAGUAACGCGUGGGUAACCUGCCUUGUACAGGGGGACAACAGUUGGAAACGACUGCUAAUACCGCAUAAGCGCACAGCUUCGCAUGAAACAGUGUGAAAAGUUUUUUCGGUACAAGAUGGACCCGCGUCUGAUUAGCUAGUUGGUGAGGUAACGGCCCACCAAGGCGACGAUCAGUAGCCGACCUGAGAGGGUGACCGGCCACAUUGGGACUGAGACACGGCCCAAACUCCUACGGGAGGCAGCAGUGGGGAAUAUUGCACAAUGGGCGAAAGCCUGAUGCAGCGACGCCGCGUGAGCGAAGAAGUAUUUCGGUAUGUAAAGCUCUAUCAGCAGGGAAGAUAAUGACGGUACCUGACUAAGAAGCACCGGCUAAAUACGUGCCAGCAGCCGCGGUAAUACGUAUGGUGCAAGCGUUAUCCGGAUUUACUGGGUGUAAAGGGAGCGUAGGCGGUUUUACAAGUCUGAUGUGAAAGCCCGGGGCUCAACUCCGGUAUUGCAUUGGAAACUGUAGAACUAGAGUGUCGGAGGGGUAAGUGGAAUUCCUAGUGUAGCGGUGAAAUGCGUAGAUAUUAGGAGGAACACCAGUGGCGAAGGCGGCUUACUGGACG